rnacentral:rRNA from 1 species
GACGUAGGGCGCGAGCGUUGUCCGGAUUUAUUGGGCGUAAAGAGCUCGUAGGCGGCCCAUUGCGUCAACCGUGAAAACCUGCCGCUCAACGGUAGGCUUGCGGUUGAUACGGGUGGGCUGGAGUUCGGUAGGGGAGACUGGAAUUCCUGGUGUAGCGGUGAAAUGCGCAGAUAUCAGGAGGAACACCGGUGGCGAAGGCGGGUCUCUGGGCCGAUACUGACGCUGAGGAGCGAAAGCGUGGGGAGCGAACAGG